UCUCCGUUGGUGAACCAGCGGAGGGAUCAUUACAGAGUUAACAAAAAACUCCCAACCCUUUGUGAACCUUACCCACCGUUGCUUCGGCGGACCGCCCCGGGCGCUGCGUGCCCCGGACCCAAGGCGCCCGCCGGGGACCACACGAACCCUGUUUAAACAACAUGUGUAUCCUCUGAGCGAGCCGAAAGGCAACAAAACAAAUCAAAACUUUCAACAACGGAUCUCUUGGUUCUG
rnacentral:misc_RNA from 1 species